rnacentral:rRNA from 1 species
AAUCCAUAGGUUAAUGAGGCGAACCGGGGGAACUGAAACAUCUAAGUACCCCGAGGAAAAGAAAUCAACCGAGAUUCCCCCAGUAGCGGCGAGCGAACGGGGAGGAGCCCAGAGCCUGAAUCAGCAUGUGUGUUAGUGGAAGCGUCUGGAAAGGCGCGCGAUACAGGGUGACAGCCCCGUACACAAAAGCGCAUGUGCUGUGAGCUCGAUGAGUAGGGCGGGACACGUGGUAUCCUGUCUGAAUAUGGGGGGACCAUCCUCCAAGGCUAAAUACUCCUGACUGACCGAUAGUGAACCAGUACCGUGAGGGAAAGGCGAAAAGAACCCCGGCGAGGGGAGUGAAAAAGAACCUGAAACCGUGUACGUACAAGCAGUGGGAGCACAGGUUUACCUGUGUGACUGCGUACCUUUUGUAUAAUGGGUCAGCGACUUAUAUUCUGUAGCAAGGUUAACCGAAUAGGGGAGCCGGAGGGAAACCGAGUCUUAACCGGGCGUUAAGUUGCAGGGUAUAGACCCGAAACCCGGUGAUCUAGCCAUGGGCAGGUUGAAGGUUGGGUAACACUAACUGGAGGACCGAACCGACUAAUGUUGAAAAAUUAGCGGAUGACCUGUGGCUGGGGGUGAAAGGCCAAUCAAACCGGGAGAUAGCUGGUUCUCCCCGAAAGCUAUUUAGGUAGCGCCUCGUGAAUUCAUCUCCGGGGGUAGAGCACUGUUUCGGCUAGGGGGCCAUCCCGGCUUACCAACCCGAUGCAAACUGCGAAUACCGGAGAAUGUUAUCACGGGAGACACACGGCGGGUGCUAACGUCCGUCGUGAAGAGGGAAACAACCCAGACCGCCAGCUAAGGUCCCAAAGUCAUGGUUAAGUGGGAAACGAUGUGGGAAGGCCCAGACAGCCAGGAUGUUGGCUUAGAAGCAGCCAUCAUUUAAAGAAAGCGUAAUAGCUCACUGGUCGAGUCGGCCUGCGCGGAAGAUGUAACGGGGCUAAACCAUGCACCGAAGCUGCGGCAGCGACACUGUGUGUUGUUGGGUAGGGGAGCGUUCUGUAAGCCUGUGAAGGUGUGUCGUGAGGCAUGCUGGAGGUAUCAGAAGUGCGAAUGCUGACAUAAGUAACGAUAAAGCGGGUGAAAAGCCCGCUCGCCGGAAGACCAAGGGUUCCUGUCCAACGUUAAUCGGGGCAGGGUGAGUCGACCCCUAAGGCGAGGCCGAAAGGCGUAGUCGAUGGGAAACGGGUUAAUAUUCCCGUACUUGGUGUUACUGCGAAGGGGGGACGGAGAAGGCUAUGUUGGCCGGGCGACGGUUGUCCCGGUUUAAGCGUGUAGGUGUGUGUUCCAGGUAAAUCCGGUUCACUUUAACACUGAGGCGUGACGACGAGGCACUACGGUGCUGAAGCAACAAAUGCCCUGCUUCCAGGAAAAGCCUCUAAGCAUCAGGUAACAUCAAAUCGUACCCCAAACCGACACAGGUGGUCAGGUAGAGAAUACCAAGGCGCUUGAGAGAACUCGGGUGAAGGAACUAGGCAAAAUGGUGCCGUAACUUCGGGAGAAGGCACGCUGACACGUAGGUGAAGUGAUUUACUCAUGGAGCUGAAGUCAGUCGAAGAUACCAGCUGGCUGCAACUGUUUAUUAAAAACACAGCACUGUGCAAACACGAAAGUGGACGUAUACGGUGUGACGCCUGCCCGGUGCCGGAAGGUUAAUUGAUGGGGUCAGCGCAAGCGAAGCUCCUGAUCGAAGCCCCGGUAAACGGCGGCCGUAACUAUAACGGUCCUAAGGUAGCGAAAUUCCUUGUCGGGUAAGUUCCGACCUGCACGAAUGGCGUAAUGAUGGCCAGGCUGUCUCCACCCGAGACUCAGUGAAAUUGAACUCGCUGUGAAGAUGCAGUGUACCCGCGGCAAGACGGAAAGACCCCGUGAACCUUUACUAUAGCUUGACACUGAACAUUGAGCCUUGAUGUGUAGGAUAGGUGGGAGGCUUUGAAGUGUGGACGCCAGUCUGCAUGGAGCCGACCUUGAAAUACCACCCUUUAAUGUUUGAUGUUCUAACGUGGACCCGUUACCCGGGUUGCGGACAGUGUCUGGUGGGUAGUUUGACUGGGGCGGUCUCCUCCUAAAGAGUAACGGAGGAGCACGAAGGUUGGCUAAUCCUGGUCGGACAUCAGGAGGUUAGUGCAAUGGCAUAAGCCAGCUUGACUGCGAGCGUGACGGCGCGAGCAGGUGCGAAAGCAGGUCAUAGUGAUCCGGUGGUUCUGAAUGGAAGGGCCAUCGCUCAACGGAUAAAAGGUACUCCGGGGAUAACAGGCUGAUACCGCCCAAGAGUUCAUAUCGACGGCGGUGUUUGGCACCUCGAUGUCGGCUCAUCACAUCCUGGGGCUGAAGUAGGUCCCAAGGGUAUGGCUGUUCGCCAUUUAAAGUGGUACGCGAGCUGGGUUUAGAACGUCGUGAGACAGUUCGGUCCCUAUCUGCCGUGGGCGCUGGAGAACUGAGGGGGGCUGCUCCUAGUACGAGAGGACCGGAGUGGACGCAUCACUGGUGUUCGGGUUGUCAUGCCAAUGGCACUGCCCGGUAGCUAAAUGCGGAAGAGAUAAGUGCUGAAAGCAUCUAAGCACGAAACUUGCCCCGAGAUGAGUUCUCCCUGAGACUUAGAGUCUCCUGAAGGAACGUUGAAGACGACGACGU